AGAACGAACGCUGGCGGCAGGCCUAACACAUGCAAGUCGAACGCCUGUAGCAAUACAGGAGUGGCAGACGGGUGAGUAACACGUGGGAACGUGCCCAAAGGUACGGAACAACUCCGGGAAACUGGAGCUAAUACCGUAUGUGCCCGAAAGGGGAAAGAUUCAUCGCCUUUGGAUCGGCCCGCGUCUGAUUAGCUAGUUGGUGAGGUAAUGGCUCACCAAGGCGACGAUCAGUAGCU
rnacentral:rRNA from 1 species